AAGACUCUGAUUGCAAUAGAUGGUCAUAAGUUUACCAUCUGUUUGAUGUUCUCAUUCACACAGGAGAGAGACAUGUCUAUCGUGGAUCCUCUGGGGAGCCUCAACAACAUCCUGAUGCUGACGAGGCAGUGAAGAGUCUCUCCGGAUCAGAACACCAAAUGGACAACGCUCGCCCUUCCUCCCUCCUGGAGUCCCAGUGUCGUGCCUCUCCCGGUAGCACCUUACUGCUGGGUAUGAAGAGGUUGUCUGUGCUGCUGGUGGACUGCAGGAAAACAACGGGGCUGAGUGGAACUGUGGGAGGAGGAGAAGAGAGGAAAGGAUCAGAUUUGACUCCAAGAGAAAGACCAGACUCAGAGGAACCAGAGCCAGGGACGAUUUAAACCAGCAAGACGACACCAGUGCUCCCACUGUGGAAAGAGUUUUAACCAGAAAGUACACCUGAAAGCUCAUGAGAGAAUACACACAGG